UACGGAGGGGGCUAGCGUUGUUCGGAAUUACUGGGCGUAAAGCGCACGUAGGCGGCUUUGUAAGUUAGAGGUGAAAGCCCAGGGCUCAACCCUGGAAUUGCCUUUAAGACUGCAUCGCUUGAAUCACGGAGAGGUGAGUGGAAUUCCGAGUGUAGAGGUGAAAUUCGUAGAUAUUCGGAAGAACACCAGUGGCGAAGGCGACUCACUGGACAUGUAUUGACGCUGAGGUGCGAAAGCGUGGGGAGCAAACAGG
rnacentral:rRNA from 1 species